ACCAGUGUGGUGUAGUGGUUUUUGUGUUGGGCUACAACUCUGGAGACCAGGGUUCAAUUUCCUGCUCAGGCA